AUUGGCUAAAACGUCGAAAUGACUCACGACAACAGCCAGUCGAUCUUUUGCCCAGCAGUCUGAUGGUUCUGGGAAAUGACGUGUGCUGUGAUCACUGAUGCUCUCUGCUGGCCUCCAAUGGUGAUAUGACUCAACAUUCAAUUCAUUGAAAUGGCUCCCGAUUAAACUGAAAUAUUCCGGCAGGUAUUUCAAUGAAAUCCCAAUAAAGGCUUAAUAAAAUUUUUUUUUUUUUAAAGUUACCAUAAUCAGGUUCUAAAUUGUCAGGUUCUAAAUGAGUUAUUGCACAGUCGGCCGUACAUUUAAAGGACUUAUCGAAACCGAGUAACAAAAUAUGACGAGGAGCCGCUUCUCUGUUAUAAUUGAUGUCACACUUCCCAUCACUCGUGGAUGAGUCACACUGCCUGGUGAGCUCAUGGCUGGUGGAAAUGAUGGGUUAAUAAUGUGGGGCGGGGGUGCAAUCACGCUGUGGUUUUCGGGAAACGAAUGACUGCAGAUUGAUGCCGGUUACAGUUUAUGAGAUGACAGUUUGUCCUCAGAAGGACGUUCAGGUCAAGUGAGAGGGGCCCUUCAGACAAGCACCCAGAAGACAAGAGAGAGCUGACGGGCAAAAGGCGACGUGGACAGUCAUUAGCCAUUUUAAAUGGGUUUUUUUUAAGUCUGCCGCUGCACCCUUAAAUCCAUCUCUGAUGGCUUGUAUCAAUUAAUAGGAACAUUAUAGGGGUGUUUUGAACUGUGCAAUCCUAAACCAUCUUUAUUCCGUUCCAACGUUGUUUAUAUUAAUGGUAAAUCAUGCCUCCUUUGAAGACACUUUUACACACGAGAUAUCAGUGGUCAACACAAAGAGGUUUCAAGCUUUUCAAGCUAUACCAGGCGACCCGUUAAAUCUCAGCGGCCUUCCAUUAGCAGCAGACUUCAGUGGGGCCAUUGAAGAAAAACGACUCAACAUCAAGUCAAUUUUUCUUUACCAUUAAACCUAAGGUCAAGACACUUUUACCUUUGGGGAUUUUCCACUCUAUUGACUGCAUACAAAUUUAUAUGACUGCCUCUGUGUGUUCCACUAAAGUACCUGUAGAAGUCUACUUUUAAGUGAUUAUUCCUUUCGUGCACCCUAUAACCUGAUAAUAUGGUAAGAUGUCCACUAUAUUGACCGUUGUUCAAGGGUUAAUAAUGAUGUGCUGUACAUUGUCCUUAAUCAGACACGGGAGCACACGUAUUCAAGACUUCACAGCCUUUUCCAUGUUCUUCUUUCUUUUGCUGCAUAAUGCGCAUGCACUCACAGAUGACAAUGAGGCGCUCUAGAGUAGCCACACCAGUAGACUAUCCUAGGGCAAGAUGCAAGAUUUUCAGAGAGUAGGCGUAGCAAGUGAGCUCACGCCUGAGCUGAAGUGUGUCACUUGGCACAGAUUUAGCAACAACCCCCCGCAAAAAUUGCAGGGAAAUUGAAAUGGUGACACACAGAUUAACAGUGCACUGUAUCCCCACAAUUCAGUGCUGCAUAGUUCUCAGUCUUGACACAUUUUCAGCAAUCACCUUAAACCGUGUAUGAUGGGUUUUUCGAAACAAAUCUCUGAAUUCAAUUUAUAGGGUCUUUCAGCAGGUGUUCAAAAUUAAAAUGCCUUAUUUGUUACAUCAAGGGCUACAGUUUGACUCUGCAACAGAUUGUUUCCGCUUCGUGUUUCAUGUGGAAUAUUUCCUUGAACGACAAACAAAAGUGACGGUCGAUUAGCAUUCUGGUGGUUGGAUCUGAUGGACCACAGUAAAUACGAUAAUAAUGACAUGGUUAAAAAUCACAAUGUCAAUCAUUGUCAGUGGUUCAGACGCUGAAUUUCAAGUAAGGGGAAAGGAAAUAUGCCGGUGAUGUGAGCCUUAAAUGGAAGCGACUGCUCGUUGGUGAGGAGCAGGUGCGGACCACAUAGGUGCAUUGAUAUUUAAAGGGCAGCGAGGAGACAGACUUAGUGGCUCUCAGCACGCUGGCAGAUAGAUGAUCGGACCAACAGAGGUGACAUCAGAAUUAUUAAUCCUUUUUUUUGCAGUAGCAGCAGGCCUAAAUUCCUUCUAGGUACGACGUCCACCACUUAAAAACAAAAACAAAACAAAAAACGUGAGCCAAAGUGUUAGUGACAUUUUUCCUCCUGGGGCCCAUUUGUUCCUCUGAGACACCUUUGGACUGCAAAAUGUCAGCUUGAGCCUGAGGCACAACAGGACCGACGCUAGCGACUCUCAAGUCAAUGGUAGUGAAACCAGAUGAUGGCAGCCUACAUCUGCAGACUAUUUAAACGGAGCAGAAAAGAGGUGCACGGUGGUUUGUGUUCUCAUGGGAACCAGAAAGUAAAGUUCACUUUUUUGGGGAAGAAUCUCACAGCGGCACUUGUGAACAAUCGCAGGAGAACACGAUUGUCCUACAUGAUCCAAUUUUACUUGAGUAAGCAUGUACAACUUACUAUCGUGUUUUAAAAUGAAAUUAAUACAAUGACAAUGUGACUGGUUAAAAAAAAAUAUAGAAAUAUCAUACUGUCUUGGACAGCGUCAAGAGAAAAAACAAAGUUUUCCGAACACCUGGAAACCUUUGCUAAGGGAACAAGAUGACACGGAGACUAACGUACAAGACAACAUGACAUUUCUUUAAUUUGUAUUCUUUUUCUGUUUGGAAAUUGCAGGGUCAAUAUUUUCAUUGAAUCACAUUACUGGACAUGAUGCACCAAAAUGUACUUAAUUUUAUCAGUUUACAGGAAUACACUGAAUAGAGCACAAGGUUUCACAAUGGAUACACGACUGACGUUUUCCCCAUUGUACUUACAACAGUGAAUGACAUUUUCCAGAUGUUUUCUUUUCUUUUUCUUUUUUUUUUUAAAAUUCCCUGCUUCUUCCACCAAAAAUAUGAUCACAUUCUAGACCAUAACCACUGAAACCUCCUGACUGUGGGACACUGAAGGCAACUUGUUGCCACGGAGGUUCUAAAUUACACUAAGGAUAGAAUCUCGACAUAGACGGUAUUGUUCCAUUUUUGUUCCACUGUUGUAAACAGUCAGUACAAGUUAGCCACAUAGACUAUGCAUAAGCAAUUAUCAUAAUCAUCUUCCUUGUUACUUUUCAUAAAUGUUAUUAUUAUUUUUUUU